AAUUAUUUGCCUAAGCCAUCUGAUAUAUUUAUCGAAUUGGUAAUUAAUUUAGUAAUUAUCUCAAAUCGAAAAGAUAGAAAAAAAAGCUCAGAGAGAAAACUGAGAGGAUUAACUCUGAAAGGACAGAAAUUUUGUAUCGAAAGUAUCGCUAUUUUCAGCUAGCGAAAUUUAAAAUCCAUUUAUAUAAGAACUUGGAAAACAAAUUUUUUUGAAAUUAGACCAUUUAUUAAUAUGUAAAUAUUAUAUUCACAUUUUGUGAUGUCAGUAUAAAUGGAAUGUAAACCAAUGAGUUGAGUUAUCCAAUAUUGUGUUUAGAGAUCUAUCGAUGUAUCGAACGUGUGACGUGACGUCAGCCAUGCUUGGUCUUUUUGCUCAUAAUGGCCGACGCGUUGCUUCAAGUUGAAGAUUAAAAAUAAUAAAUAUUGUUAUAGUGAAAUAUUUACAAACUUCAUCGAUUUAAUUUGACUAUAUAAUUGUUAUAUUUAUUAUAUUAUAUCUAAUUUAUCUCCAUAUGCUGUUAAUAUUGUUUGUAUUAUAUUACGUUCAAUUGUUUUAUAAUAUCAACGAACGAAGCUCUUAAGAGUUUGUGGACAACCAUUACACGAUGCAGGCACAUGAUGUAGACGGUAUUGAUGGUGGAUCUCCAUGGAAUAAUUCAAGUGGUUGUGAGGAGGAAAGAAAACCAAACCAAAAAGAGGGGAAAAAAUCAAACGUCUUGUCACUAUGGGGAAACGAUCGGACUAUGAAUUUAAAUCCAUUGAUUUUAACUAAUAUUUUAUCAUCACAUUAUUUUAAAGUAAAUCUUUAUGAAUUAAAAACAUACCAUGAGGUUAUUGAUGAGAUAUAUUAUAAGGUAUCUCAUCUUGAACCAUGGGAAAAGGGCAGUAGAAAGACAGCUGGUCAAACGGGCAUGUGUGGAGGCCGGUUCAUGCAGGUUCGCGGUGUGGGAGCUGGUGGUAUUGUCUCAACGGCUUAUUGUCUCCUCUACAAAUUAUUCACACUGAGGUUAACUAGGAAACAAUUAAAUGGUCUUAUUAAUCAUCCUGAUUCACCUUAUAUUCGAGCACUAGGAUUUAUGUAUAUCAGAUACACACAACCUCCAGCUGAUUUAUUUAGCUGGUACGACGAGUACCUGGAAGAUGAUGAAGAGCUAGAUGUUAAAGCUGGCGGUGGACAAAUAAUGAAAAUGGGAGAUAUUUUAAAACAAUUUUUAACAAAACUUGAAUGGUUUUCGACGUUAUUUCCUAGAAUACCUGUGCCUAUUCAAAAAGAUCUAGAACAUCGACUGAGUCAAAGAUUUCCACAACAGUCAGCUAGUGCAAGAAAUGCUAAACCACCAAUUACUUUAAAUAAUCAUGGAAAAUGCAGCAAUAAUAGCAACCGAAAAGACAGUUCUAGUUGGAGAAGUCAGCAACAUGGCAAACAUAUAGCAGAUAGUGAAGCUGAUUGGGGUGAAGCUGAAUCUCAUGCGAGUCACUGGCGAGCCAGGUGCGUCUACGUGGAAAAAGGGAUGAAGAGUAACGAUGUGCCACCUUGAGGCAAUGCAAAUAUUUCGAUCUUCAGGUUACAAUUUUCAUUUUACCCAAGCGCUUUUUGUGCGUUUUAAGGGAUCCGAUGAAGAUCGCAGAGAUAAAUACAGAGAUCGUGAAAGGGAGAGGAGAAGAUCUCGUGAACGAGAACGAUCAAGAGAUAGAGCAAGGGUUGAUGAUAAAAAACGUGAUCGAUACUCUAGAAGAUCAAGCCGUGAU
rnacentral:misc_RNA from 1 species